GUCUCUGUGGCGCAAUCAGCGUGUUUGGCUAUUAACCAGGAGGUUGGUGGUUCGAGCCCACCCACGGACG
rnacentral:tRNA from 1 species